GUUUAAUUAGCUGUUUAGAAUUGUACACUUUGCAUAAUCACUAUUUGACUACACUGAAAAAAAAGGAAGUUCAGACUAUUCAUUACUCAACUAAAACAAUCUGAAAUGCGAAUCAGACUUUCCGAUUUCUCUUUAGUGCUCUGAAGUUCUGAGGUAAAUAAUUCUUCCUGGGAAAGACACUGACUUCUGUCUGAACAGUUUUUAUUUUGGUCUUGUGCGUGGUCUUACCAUUAAGUAGAAUUUCACAUGGGUGGGAGGUAUUAUAUUUUAAGUUCCUUUGACGUAAAUAAUUUAUUUGACUUGGGAGUGGUGAAAAUUGUAAGCUGCUCUGCGGUGUUAAAUGGGAAACAUCAAAACCCAGACUAAUAUCACAUGUGAAAAUUUCAUCACAUACAUAUAUUUACUAUACAUACAGACGUAUGCAUGUGUGUUAUAGACAUAAAUACCCCUUUAAACUGUUUUGUAGUGGUUACUUUUCACACCAUAACAGGAUCUGAGAGUGCUUGUCAAAGUUCUUCAUCUGUUAUAGCAGAAAAUGGAUAAUUCUUGGAAGUUUUAAAUGCAUAAAUUUCUUCUGUGACUGACAGCAUAGAUGGCUUCAUAUUAUUUGCGCUACUCCCACAUUGCCAGGGGCUCUGGAAUGCCCACUUGAGGUUAGUGGGACAGAUCCCACUGUUCAUCCUGAAUUUCUCAGACUAUACCCAAAACAUAACCUUUCAUGACUACAGAUGUUGGCCAAAAUGGGUUGGGAUGAGAGAUCUUUCUCCUCCUGCCCUCCUGCUCCAGGUCCCUCUCCGUGUUCUCCUCUCCUCCCUGUUCCUUUUUGUCCUUCUCUUUCAGGCUCCUGCAGCACCACCUGCUCACCCUACCUCCUUCCAGGCAGGCAGAAGUAGUGGGAUUCAGGCCCCAAGGCCCUCUUCCUUCCCUCUUGCAUGGUUCAGAGUCCCAGCAUGUGCUGAAGCCAUGGUCAGAGGGGAGAUGUGGGAGUGGUACUGGGGAAUAAGCAUUUCCAGAUCAGGUUGUAACGUUGUGCGUCUGGAGGCCUUCUGGUCAUUGCGUGAGGUUAGAGUAAAAGUCUGCAUAGGAGGGGAGCUGCUGCAGAAGUCCCUGGGGAAGCUCUCCCAAGCUUCAGUGAUCUGUGCUUCGCUGAUUUUUCCUUUGGUUUUUGACGACGAACAACUCUAUUUUGCAAGUGUUACUUUUUUUUCCUCUUACGAAUUCUUGAUAUUUUGCAUUAGAAAUUACAUGUACUUUGAACCUUCAUCUUCCACAGAUUUUUACUUUGACCACUGGUUUACAAUUGAAAAAACAACAGCACUACAGUAUUUUAAAACUUUUUAAAUUCAAAUAAAAAAAAAUAUUUUGUGUAUGUUAAGUCCUUG
rnacentral:lncRNA from 1 species